UAAUACGAAGGGCCCGAGCGUUAAUCGGAAUCACUGGGCUUAAAGCGUACGUAGGCGGAUGCGCAGGCAUCGUGUGAAAUCCCUCCGCUCAACGGAGGUACUGCACGGUGAACCGCGUGUCUUGAGAUUGGUAGGGGCUGUCGGAACGAUAGGUGGAGUGGUGAAAUGCGUUGAUAUCUAUCGGAACGCCGAAGGAGAAGUCAGGCAGCUGGGCCAAUUCUGACGCUGAGGUACGAAAGCGUGGGGAGCGAACGGGAUUAGAUACCCCGGUAGUCCACGCCGUAAACGAUGUGCACUAGGUCGAGGACACUCUGACGUGAUUCUUGGUCGAAGCAAAAGUGUUAAGUGCACCGCCUGGGGAGUACGGUCGCAAGGCUA
rnacentral:rRNA from 1 species